UCAAACUUGGUCAUUUAGAGGAAGUAAAAGUCGUAACAAGGUUUCCGUAGGUGAACCUGCGGAAGGAUCAUUUAUGAGCGAGGGAUUAGUCUUUGGACUAAUGCCCGAGCGUAAUAUAUCCAAUUACAUUGUGAAUUGUUUAGUUGGCUUGUAAGCCAUUUUACAUAACUCUGUGUAAUGAACGUAUACUAUUAUAAAAUAUAAUAAAACUUUCAACAACGGAUCUCUUGGCUCUCGCAUCGAUGAAGAACGCAGC
rnacentral:misc_RNA from 1 species